GAAGUAUUAUGAAAAAUUACAUAACUUUGUCAAGGUUAAAUUAUAGGUUCCAAACCCUUUAUACUUCU
rnacentral:tRNA from 1 species